AUCUAGCGAAUGCACGCGAGAGCAAACUCAGUAUUCUUCUGACUCGCGGACUGUCAACACGUAUGUCAUUUAAUAUAUUUUUUUUAAGUUUUCCGCGAGUAUACUACUACGUAACUAGGAUAUAACAUUGAUGUGAAAAUGGCAUACUGAGGAUUUUUGUACGAUGAAUAGAUAAACGAUGAAAAUUAAAUAUAAGUAAAUAAAAACAAAAAUUGGACAUUGAUUGCUCGGAAAAUGGAAAACUUGAGAAUUGCCUCGAGUUGACAUUGAGAGGAAAUUACCACGUUUUUGCAAUUGAAAACGUAGAUAACAACAAAGUAUCUAAUUUGAAACAUAAAUAAGUACCAUUAAUAGGAGUUUUGACGUAAAUGGGGUAUCGGUAAGACUUUGUAUUUUGUAUUUAUUUAUUUAUCGCUGUUAAUAAUAAACUCUUCUAACGGUUUGUGUUUUAUUUUAAAGCAAUUACAUUUUAAUACAUUUAAAAUAAUCUUUCAUGCACUCAAAAAAAAAAUUAAUUAUCUAGGUAUGUGAAUAAAAAAAGUGCUUUCGCAUAAUGUAUGUAUGCAGUGAUCUGCGCUUUUGUGCCCGAUUUUACGCGACAAAAUCUAGCAUUAGUGACAUUGUAAACAAUCUGUGUCCUUUUGCUACACUACUUCUAACGAUAAAAGACAGGUACCUAACUAAACAAUUUAAGCAAAUAAAUAAAUUCACACAUAAUGUUGACCGUGAGGGCGUGAGAUAAAAACAGUCAUAGUAUACAAAACAACAGCGGAUUACAUAUUCACGGCUGAAAGGUUAUGGAGAUCCGCAAGUUUAGUAACUAAACCCCUAAGCAGUAAAUAAGGGAUGCAAAUUAUUGAAUACGUAUUAUAAAGGAAAGAAUUCCUAUCAUCAUCAUCAUCCUCCUGCCCUUAUCCCAAUUUUGCCAAUUUUUUUAUAAGGGAUAGAAUUUUAUGCGAAAUAAUUUCACUUUACUUUCAUUAACAUAACAUUUAACAAUUACUUACAGAAAAAUUGCAAAAAGUUAGUAAUAACAUCACUGGCCUCCAUCCACCCCAUUUCUAUUCUUUUUCGACCUAUACCGUUCUCAAAGUAAAUAUAAAAAAAAUACAGACAAGAAAUAAUCAAACAUUCUAAAUUAAUUUCAAACAGAAAUAACUGCAACAAAACUCAUUAAUAAAAAAUAUGCAUGCUGCAUAAGAAAAAAUAAAAUGCAUCGCUAUAGACUCAAUUAGUUUUAGAGUGGACAAACAACGUCCUUGGCAGAUAAAAUACCGGAUACUCGCUGUGUACCUGCACUUCCGGAUAUGAGUACUACAAUAGAUGAGUAUGGAUGACCUUCAGAGUGUGAUAGUAAAAUAUAAUCUGUUGAAAGGAUGCAAGAAGAUGUGACUAUUCGAACGGGUUGGUACCUGGUCUGGAGGUUCCUGGUCCUUGAGGUUCCUGUGCCGAUUAAUUUCAUUUCGAAAAACUUAAUAAAAGUCAGUUUAGCUGUAAAGUACUGAGGGUAAAUAUGCGGGGGAAACAGCGAGUGUAUUUGUAGUUAUAAAUGAAAAAAUCUGUUUGUCUACUAAGGCUUAAGUUUGCCAAGAACUAGCGCUUUUGUUUAAACAAUUGUUUAUUUUGAAAAUUGAAGGUUAAAAUUCAUAGUAAACAUUUGUUUUAAGAAAACUGACGUUUAUGUUCUCGGUGAACUUGGGCCUAGAGUUGCUUAGGACAAACGAAUGUAGGAUUAUCUCCGAGAACAAAUAUUUCCUUAAACUAAGUAUCUACACAGAAGUUCAACAACAGAAUCAGCCGUUAAAUGUGAACGUAUUACUUAACUGGCGAUGGCGUAACAAAACAAAUACAAGUAACAAUAUCUUUAACAAUUAAAGUCAAGGUAAGUGAGCGUUCUCUGUAACUAUAACACUUAUUACUGUUAAUUACAAGUUUUAACUCCAAUCGAGGACAAUGAGGUUACCAAAUACAACUGUCAAGUUACCAAGGAUUUUCGAAAAAAGUCGUAGAGAUUUUAAUAAAAUAAUGAAGCAGGUUGAGUCAACAGAAAAUAAUCUAUUGAAGAAGGUACCUAUAUUUUGUGUAAGAUAAGGUUAGGCAAAUGAUGAGAUGGUGGAAAAAUAGCGUUAAAUUAAAACUUGCUAGGUCUUAAUGGAGAGGUAUAUAUAUUCUUAGAACAUUACGAUUCAAUUAUUACUGUUGUGUACUCAUUCGAAGAAAUACUUUCACUUCUAGGAAGUUAAGUCAUCCAUAUAAUCAUAGAAAUAAAUAGAGUUUCUACUUUAUUUGGUGGAACGCAUCAAUCUCAGGCACCAUUGAUGGCGGAAGCAAGUGUUUUUAAUAUUAGUGAUAUUAUAGGGAAAACAUUAGUAUUACCAAAUAUCACUAAAAUCAAAAAGAACUCGACCAAUAUCAAAAUUCUUUUACCUGCUGUAUCCUUGAGUAACAUAAGCUACAUUUUAUCUAGCUACGCAAAGAAGUUCUCUUAAGAGGACGAAUUGGAAUUUUUGGCGCCAAGGAUCUCAAUUUUUCUCAGUAAAUACAAAACGGAUCAAAAUACAACUUGGUUACCUGAAAGU